UGGAUCCUAGAGGACUAUGUGUGU
rnacentral:misc_RNA from 1 species